AUUGAACGCUGGCGGCAGGCCUCACACAUGCAAGUCGAGCGAGCGGCGGACGGGUGAGUAAUGUCUGGGAAACUGCCUGAUGGAGGGGGAUAACUACUGGAAACGGUAGCUAAUACCGCAUACCAUCGGAUGUGCCCAGAUGUGAUUAGCUAGUAGGUGGGGUAACGGCUCACCUAGGCGACGAUCCCUAGAUGGUCUGAGAGGAGGACCAGCGACACGGGAACUGAGACACGGUCCAGACUCCUACGGGAGGCAGCAGUGGGGAAUAUUGCACAAUGGGCGCAAGCCUGAUUCAGGCAUGCCGCGUGUAUGAAGAAGGCCUUCGGGUUGUAAAGUACUUUCAGCGGGGAGGCGUUACCCGCAGAAGAAGCACCGGCUAACUCCGUGCCAGCAGCCGCGGUAAUUC
rnacentral:rRNA from 1 species